rnacentral:rRNA from 1 species
UACGAAGGGGGCGAGCGUUGUUCGGAAUUACUGGGCGUAAAGGGUGCGUAGGUGGCGCUGUAAGUCGGGUGUGAAAUUUCGGAGCUUAACUCCGAAACUGCAUUCGAUACUGCGGUGCUUGAGGACUGGAGAGGAGACUGGAAUUCAUGGUGUAGCAGUGAAAUGCGUAGAGAUCAUGAGGAAGACCAGUGGCGAAGGCGGGUCUCUGGACAGUUCCUGACACUGAGGCACGAAGGCCAGGGGAGCAAACGGG